GACGAACGCUGGCGGCGUGCCUAACACAUGCAAGUCGAGCGGAGAUGAUGUGAGGAAGUUUUCGGAUGGAAUCACAUUAUUUUAGCGGCGGACGGGUGAGUAACGCGUGAGCGACCAACCUUGCACAGGGGGAUAACGGACCGAAAGGUUCACUAAUACCGCAUGAGACCACGGUGUUGCAUGACACAGGGGUCAAAGGAGGAAUCCGGUGCAAGACGGGCUCGCGUCCGAUUAGGUAGUUGGAGGGGUAACGGCCCACCAAGCCUAUGAUCGGUAGCCGACCUGAGAGGGUGAUCGGCCACAUUGGAACUGAGAUACGGUCCAAACGUCCUACGGGAGGCAGCAGUGGGGAAUAUUGGGCAAUGGGGGAAACCCUGACCCAGCAACGCCGCGUGAAGGAAGAAGGUUUUCGGAUUGUAAACUUCUGUCCUUGGUGAAGAGAAGAAGACGGUAGCCAAGGAGGAAGCCCCGGCUAACUACGUGCCAGCAGCCGCGGUAAGAGUACUCUAU
rnacentral:rRNA from 1 species